AGCUUCCCAGGUUCCCCAGGACUCCGCGUGGUGUCGGCCUGGGUCGCUUUUCUGGUCUGAGGACGAGCCCGCGUGCACAUCGGCUGCCCCCCAACUCUGUAGCAGACGUCCCCGCUCACCCCAAAGAUUGCUUGGGGCUGACCUUCCAGGGGCCUGACCCGGGACUCUGCUAAAUACUGAGAAGCGGCUUCUAACAAGGAGUCAAGACUUCUAAAACCGGUGGGGUUGGCUCCAUCUUUCUUAGAAUCCAUACCUGGCCCCCAUGCUUGUGGGGACCCCAGAAGCAGAGUUCCCACGGCGUCAAGGCAGCACCAACCCAAGGCUUGAGUAUGGGGGCUUCCAGUAGCUGUUUGAAGUAAAUGAAUCUGUUGAAGACCAUUGGUUCGUGUGAGCUGAGCUCCUCAGAGAUGAGUUCAUAAACCAGAGUCUGCUUGAAACAUGGGAGCAUCUAGUUUAAUCAUCCGAUCUCACUUGGAAGAGACGAUUUUCCAUCAGAACCCUGUGAGCUUCCUCCCAUCUUCCUGAGAGGACUUAAGACAUUCCACAUGGACCCUUCCUUUCUUCGGAGCCUUUCUUUGACCGCCCACCAUUGAGAAGUACCUUGCAAGCAUGAGGGGACUCAAAAUGUUGAAUGUUAUCACCCAGCACAGAUGGUAGGUAGUAGAUGAGUCUAGUUUAUUAGCUAAUAAUUAUUUUGGAUACCAGUUAUACAUGUUAGUCCUGUAUUUUACUACCAGGUAUCAGUAAAUUAUUUUGGCCUUUUGAACUCAUGCUCUGCCUUUCAACCUGUUUUCUUUAAAGACAAGCCCACUUCCCUCUGGGCCUCUGUUAGUCUUUUAAUUUUAAUGGCUCAUCAAAUCCCUGGGCGGCAGGAUUGACAGCACCAAAGGAGAAAGCAACUGAACAGGUAGAACAGUGAAACAAUCUCAAAAAAAGAUGACACAGGACACAGUGUUUCAAAAUUUGUACAUUGUUUACUUUAAGCAACAAUCCAGGAUUGUGAAAGUACAACACACAUUUUAAGGAUGAGACUUUCAUUUCAUGGUCUAGCACCAGCAUCAUGCACACAGCUUCAAGUUACCUAAGAGCACUGCCCCCGUGGGGUCCGUGCACCACGAAGACCCACUUCUGUGUGGUCCCCGCCCUUGCUUCACCACCUGGAAUCCAUCAAUUUGUACACAGAAGCCUUCCUCUGCAUGGGAGCAGCGGGCUUUGCUCAGCCAGUCAGGUUAGUAUCUGGCUUAAAGAUUUCUUAAGGUUCAGAAAGGUAAGGUGUUUUUGUUUUUGUUUUUGUUUUUGCUUUGCAGGCAGCAAGGCAUGAGGCGCAGGCCUCUAUCACUCCAUAUGGCACAGAAGAUGCUUUUAGCAAAGGGCACUGACAAGUCAGGGCAACGCCAAGUAAGUUCGGCAUGAAAACAACUUUGUUUGGGGGCCUGAAGGGACAGCGCCUGUGGACUGUCUACUGGCCUGUCCAGUGCAGGCUUGGUAAACCCAAGUAAAGCUGACAAGAAAAGGGUUUUAAAAACCUCAGUACAAAAGACCCUCUUAACACAUUUAGAACCAAAUGAUUUGUUCUUAAAAACACGGUACUAAGUGUCACAAAGCUUUUCCCUCCAAUCUACUACUAGAAAACACUCAUGCCAUGGCCUACAGACCCAGAGGAAUCAGGACAGACUGAACCUGUUCUUCCAAAACAAAAAUAAAAU